UACGGAGGGUGCAAGCGUUAUCCGGAUUCACUGGGUUUAAAGGGUGCGUAGGUGGGUCUGUAAGUCAGUGGUGAAAUCUCCGUGCUUAACAUGGAAACUGCCAUUGAUACUAUAGAUCUUGAAUUUUCUGGAGGUAAGCGGAAUAUGUCAUGUAGCGGUGAAAUGCUUAGAUAUGACAUAGAACACCAAUUGCGAAGGCAGCUUACUACGGGAAUAUUGACACUGAGGCACGAAAGCGUGGGGAUCAAACAGG
rnacentral:rRNA from 1 species